UUUGGCUGGCUAGGAACCCGAGCGGCGAUAUUUUGUCCAUGCAUCCUCCAUAGUGUUCACUCGAAAGGAAGGGACAUUAAUUUGAGUGGGACCAACACUUCCAAGUAUAUUUAGGACUGACAACCUUAAGACUGUUGGGCUUAAGUUCUGGCAUUUUGUUGGAAACGUCAGGCUGAUCUGGAAUCUUAUUUUUCAGUGGCAGGUCUGAGACCUGGGAUGUGGAAAGCAAUUAGAAAACCACGUGCCUCGGUCUUGUGCCUCAUUCUCACCAGUGAGCAACCACAGAUAUUCUCUCCUAUCUAGGGAUUCUGGAGGUUGCGAUCCCUUCACCCUUAUCUCCACCACCUCUAUGGAGAUGCAUCACUGGAGGAACUGCACAGAGCGAGAGAGGGCUGCAAUCCAAGGAGGACAAGCUGUGAGGAUGUUGAUCUUGGAAACGGGACAACAAGUGGGGAAGGACUUGUUGCAGAUGUAUUUCAGUGAAAGGGACAGCUCUAAAGCAACUGAUCAUCUGAUAAAGUGGCUGUCUGAUAACCAUGGUCUUCUGGUCAAGUCCCCAUAAGCUUAUGUCAUAAUAAAGUUGCUAGCCUUUAAAGUGCCAUAA